rnacentral:rRNA from 1 species
AGAGUUUGAUCAUGGCUCAGAUUGAACGCUGGCGGAAUGCUUUACACAUGCAAGUCGAACGGCAGCACGGGGGCAACCCUGGUGGCGAGUGGCGAACGGGUGAGUAAUACAUCGGAACGUGCCCAGUCGUGGGGGAUAACUACGCGAAAGCGUAGCUAAUACCGCAUACGAUCUACGGAUGAAAGCGGGGGAUCGCAAGACCUCGCGCGAUUGGAGCGGCCGAUGGCAGAUUAGGUAGUUGGUGGGGUAAAGGCUCACCAAGCCUGCGAUCUGUAGCUGGUCUGAGAGGACGACCAGCCACACUGGGACUGAGACACGGCCCAGACUCCUACGGGAGGCAGCAGUGGGGAAUUUUGGACAAUGGGCGCAAGCCUGAUCCAGCCAUUCCGCGUGCAGGAUGAAGGCCUUCGGGUUGUAAACUGCUUUUGUACGGAACGAAAAGGCUCUCUCUAAUACAGGGGGCUCAUGACGGUACCGUAAGAAUAAGCACCGGCUAACUACGUGCCAGCAGCCGCGGUAAUACGUAGGGUGCAAGCGUUAAUCGGAAUUACUGGGCGUAAAGCGUGCGCAGGCGGUGAUGUAAGACAGUUGUGAAAUCCCCGGGCUCAACCUGNGAACUGCAUCUGUGACUGCAUCGCUGGAGUGCGGCAGAGGGGGAUGGAAUUCCGCGUGUAGCAGUGAAAUGCGUAGAUAUGCGGAGGAACACCGAUGGCGAAGGCAAUCCCCUGGGCCUG